AAAGAAAAAGUGUGAUUUUUCAAGGAAUCAAGUGUUUAAAGGUGGUGAGCUAUCUGAUACGGGUAAAAGACUACACCCGAGGACCGAGAAUAGGAGUAUAUCUACUCCUAGUACAGCUCAGAAUAGGCAGUAGACUGUCAAUUGCAUCUAGAAGUAAAUUUCGGAGUUACAUCCUAGAAAGCAAG
rnacentral:sRNA from 1 species